rnacentral:rRNA from 1 species
GAUGAACGCUGGCGGCGUGCCUAAUACAUGCAAGUCGAGCGAACGGACGAGAAGCUUGCUUUUCUGACGUUAGCGGCGGACGGGUGAGUAACACGUGGAUAACCUACCUAUAAGACUGGGAUAACUUCGGGAAACCGGAGCUAAUACCGGAUAAUAUUUUGAACCGCAUGGUUCAUAAGUGAAAGACGGUCUUGCUGUCACUUAUAGAUGGAUCCGCGCUGCAUUAGCUAGUUGGUAAGGUAACGGCUUACCAAGGCAACGAUGCAUAGCCGACCUGAGAGGGUGAUCGGCCACACUGGAACUGAGACACGGUCCAGACUCCUACGGGAGGCAGCAGUAGGGAAUCUUCCGCAAUGGGCGAAAGCCUGACGGAGCAACGCCGCGUGAGUGAUGAAGGUCUUCGGAUCGUAAAACUCUGUUAUUAGGGAAGAACAUAUGUGUAAGUAACUGUGCACAUCUUGACGGUACCUAAUCAGAAAGCCACGGCUAACUACGUG